UACGUAGGCAGCGAGCGUUGUUCGGAAUUACUGGGCGUAAAGAGUGUGUAGGCGGUGCUCUAAGUUCGGUGUGAAAUCUCCCGGCUUAACUGGGAGGGUGCGCCGGAAACUGGAGUGCUCGAGCGUGGGAGAGGAAAGCGGAAUUCCUGGUGUAGCGGUGAAAUGCGUAGAGAUCGGGAGGAACACCAGUGGCGAAGGCGGCCUUCUGGACCAAUACUGACGCUCAUGCACGAAAGCGUGGGGAGCAAACAGG
rnacentral:rRNA from 1 species